rfam:Stegodyphus mimosarum contig145469, whole genome shotgun sequence.
GCCUUUGUGGUGUAGAGAUCAGCGCGCUCGACGAGUAACCGAGAGGUCCGUGGUUCGAUUCCCGGUGAAGGCG